AGUGAGGAAAUGAGGAAAUGCUCUGAUUUCAUUUUCGCUUAGCUGGGACUGGACCUGUCGCACGACUUGCGCGUUUGUUUGAAGCAGCUGCUCGAGCAUCUGAGAAAGGGAAGCAGUUUGCUGCUCCUGGCACCCCCAAAAUCAACACAGAGCGCGGAGCUGAGACGGGCCGAGGCCGAGCACGGACCCCCCGCAGCUGGUCUGACCCCGGCAGCGCCCUUGGGCUGGACCCAGACUCCCAUCUCGCCGCCGUCGCGUGUCAACCAGGCCAAAGGCAGCUCUCAGAAAUCAGAUUUAUUCCUUUUUCCUUGGGGAAGCACAGAGGGGAAAACACAGUUUAAACAUAACGAUCGCCUGGAGCCGAGCCUGCUGCAUCCCCGGCCGGCCUCAGUGCCGCACGGACAGCGGGAGAGGCAUUUAAUGCACAUUAUAUCGCAGAUGCUGCCGUCAGCCUGAAGGUGCCACCAGCAAAGUCCCCAGCAGCAGCUGGAAAAUCACGCGCCGGGGCUUCCUCCGGGGUCCCGCGAAGGUGAGCCGGGCAGCAAGCGCGUUUCUCAGCGCUGCGAAGCACCUUGGGCAUAAGAUGGCUGCAAGAAACCAUCUUCUGGGAGAGGAGGAGGAGGCAAAGCGGUGUCACGGGAGCUUUGAAGAUGGGGCUGAGUCAUUUUCUAAAAGGCAGCUGCGGCUGCCAGGGAUUGCAAGAGCUGGCGAUGGGGCCAGAGAGCCCGUCACCUAAAUAACUGAGAUAAUUUCCGACAGAUGACCCCUUAUUAGUGGCUCUUCUUGGGGAGGGUGAAUUAAGGGGACAUUCAGAGACCAACUGCCAUUAUUCAUAAUUUCUGCUGCGUAUCUGGAAAAAGGCAACCGGAUUCUUAAAUAAGGCUGGAGUGGAUCCCCGUGCGCCUGAGCUCAGCGGGGCCAGAGGCGGCAUCCCAAGGGCUUGUCUGGAAGCGGAGACCCCCCUAGAUCCGAGGGCCGAACCUCCUGAGCGCCUCCCGGCCCCUGCCAGAUUUUGCGGCCAUCAACUCUUCCUGGGAGCAGAAGGAAAGAAACCAUUUCUGCACGUUGGAGUGAGUUGAAGCCACGAGGGAAAUACCAGGCAAAGGUGUGCAAAUUAUUUCUGUAUAUUAAAAACAUGUUUCGCUUUGAAAAAAUCUGACCAAGGCUGGAGAUGAGAGAGACAGGAGAAAACUGGUGCUUUUUCAAGCCAGCUCCGACAUGAAGAUAAGGGAGCUUUGUUUAGAGAGCUGCCUAUAUAUAUAUAUAUUUUUUAACGAGAUAAUGCCUUUCGGUUGCUAGAUGUAGCCCUGCUGACACCACAGCAUUUUGCAGAGCUGCGCCAGUUUGAGCGGGGCUGAUCCCUUCCAACACUUUGCCUCUUCUUGUUUUGAGCUUUAAACGGUGCAGAAACGCUCGCGCUCGCAGGUGCUGCCGGGCAAGCGGCGGCCUGCCGCCCCGCUCCUUGCUGCUGCGCCUCCGGACGGGUCGAGCGAGGGGCUUCUCCGGAGGGAACGCCGGCGCGGUCUCUCUCCUCCGCGGUCAGCUGAGAAACGCCGGUGCUUGGCUCUGGCUCAGCAUCCGGCAGCGUUUGAAACGCUGGAAUUUCCCGCAGCGCAAAAAGCGGUUUGGAGCCAGCUCCGACGAGCCGCGCGGGAGCAAUUCAGGUGACUCUCAUCGUUUCAGGUUCACAGGGUUUAAUCAAGGGCCCUUUACACCCUUCUUGCAGCGUGGCUGGGCCUUAAAGAAAGCUGACGCCCGUUUAAAAGCCAUUUUAUGCUGCCGGAAGGGUAUAAGGAGCGUUGCCCUACGUCGUGCAUCGCUGGCCCGUUUGAGAAAUCCUCGGGGAGCCCCUUUGGGUCGAAGCCGAGCCGAGGAGAAGCAGCUCGGCACCCGCGCUCCCCGGACCUGU